rnacentral:rRNA from 1 species
UACGAAGGGGGCUAGCGUUGUUCGGAAUUACUGGGCGUAAAGCGCACGUAGGCGGACUACUAAGUCAGGGGUGAAAUCCCGGGGCUCAACCCCGGAACUGCCUUUGAUACUGAUAGUCUCGAGUCCGGAAGAGGUGAGUGGAAUUCCGAGUGUAGAGGUGAAAUUCGUAGAUAUUCGGAGGAACACCAGUGGCGAAGGCGGCUCCCUGGCCCGAUACUGACGCUGAGGCACGAAAGCGUGGGGAGCAAACAGG